rnacentral:rRNA from 1 species
UGGGUAAUCUGCCCUCGAUUCUGGGAUAGCCCGGGGAAACCCGGAUUAAUACCGGAUAGCCUCCCGAGCUUUCGAGCUCGUGAGAAAAGGUAGCUUCGGCCUCCGAUCGAGGAUGAGCCCGCGGCGGAUUAGCUUGUUGGUGGAAUAAUGGCCUACCAAGGCGACGAUCCGUAGCUGGUCUGAGAGGACGAUCAGCCACACUGGGACUGAGACACGGCCCAGACCUCCGUACGGGAGCAG